rnacentral:rRNA from 1 species
GACGAACGCUGGCGGCGUGCCUAAUACAUGCAAGUAGGACGCAGUUGCGAACGGGUGAGUAACGCGUAGGUAACUACCUAUUAGAGGGGGAUAACUAUUGGAAACGAUAGCUAAUACCGCAUACUAGUAGAUGGACCUGCGUUGUAUUAGCUAGUAGGUAGGGUAAUGGCCUAACUAGGCAACGAUACAUAGCCGACCUGGGGAGGAGAACGGGCAAAAUGGGACUGAGAAACGGACCAGACUCCUACGGGGGGGAGCAGGAGGGGAACAUCGGAAAUGGGGGGAAACCUGACCGAGCAACGCCGCGUGAGUGAAGAAGGUUUUCGGGUCGUAAAGCUCUGUUGUUAAGGAAGCGGUACUUAACCAGAAAGGGACGGCUAACUACGUGCCAGCAGCCGCGGUAAUUC